AAACCAUGGUGAGGGCAUUUUGAUAAGUACCCGUUGAAUCUUUCCCAAGCUUCUCCAAAUCCUUCCAGGUUCUUUUGUUGAAAUCCAGAGAUUUCAUUUCUAAUCUU
rfam:Brassica napus, WGS project CCCW01000000 data, contig: 20469